UUGAAGCCGCAUGCAUUAUUCGCCUGGCGAUAAACUUGGUUUGAAACAAUUGCAUGAUACCAUGCAUAAGUGUUAGCGUCAUUUGAUUGUUCGUUGUUGGUUUUCCUUCUCCAUUCCCAACUCAUGUGAUCUCAAAACCUACAUCUCACAUAUGUUUCAGAAAGAAAAAAAAAACAAAAGAAUAUUUUCGGGAAAAAAAUAUCGUAAACCCUAAUCUCUUCUUUCUCCAUCCUUUCCUCUCCAGUCUCCACCUUUGUUCUUCGUUAUCUUGUAUGAGGGUUUAUGUCUGUUGUGUAAUGGAGAGAAAGAAAAAAAACGUACUUAGCAUUCUCAUCUCUUCAGGAACAUAUCCACAUAUACAGCUUACUAAUGUCAUCUUAGGAUGGUAAUUACAAAGCGCAUACAAGGUGUUAUUUUUCAAUGGAACCUAGGAUGAGGACGGAAGGAAAAUAAAACACUGGGCAAAGAUGGAUUACACCCUAUUUGAUGAGGCUCAACAAAAGGUGAAGAUCUUGGAAGUCUGGCAGCCGUUAAUGCGGUUUCUAUAAGUUCACAAGUUAAAGCUUUACGUAUGUUACUAGCAUAUGAGAUGCCAGUUCAGUGUACAAGUGUUUGGCAUUUUGUGGUGAUUUUCUUUAUAUGUUGGCGAUUCCUCAGCAAGGUCUAACCGUAAUCAUGGUCACUGAGGUACCUUAAAGUCAGAUGUCGAGUCACUUCAAAUCAUGGAGACAAAAUAUGGUUCCGUUCAGAAGGCCUGGGAAUUUAGAAGGGUGUCUGUUCUCUAUGUAACAACUCAUUUGAGUAAUAGUUUAGAAGCAGUAGUGUUCAUUUCAGUGUAUGCAUAUGGGUGCCUGUGUGAGGGCUCAGGUUGUAAGGCAAGAUGUUUCCCAGUUCUUGGACGUCUUUAGCUAAGCAUGAAAAAACUGACGAGAAAGAUAACAUAUAUCUUUAAAACUUAAACUU